ensembl:lncRNA
UGGAACUUGCAUCAGACAGACCGGGAAUGACCCGGAUGUUAAUGGUGGAGUCGGUGGAGAAGGGAGUCGGUGUGUCGUUGGUGUAACGGGAGUCAUAUUCGUGUACACACGUCCUCUUGCCGUCCUUUGAUAUUUAACUGUUAUUGAUUCUAGAAAAACGUUUCUCUUUCUCGGUAUUUAAUACAGGAUGGUUACUGCUUUUUACGUGUAAUCGUGUUUGUUGUACUGACCUUGAUUUACGAACAAAAGAAUAUCUGGCGCUAGCUUGCAAGCUAACACAAUUUUUAGUAAAAGGUCGUCUGUCUGGGCUUACACUGGCUCAUUAAAACGUUUUAUUUUGUGUAUGUGUCGGUAUUCACCUUACGCUCUUUCACAACUAUCGAACAAAUCAAUCCACCUGCAUGUACAGGGAGUGCAGAAUUAUUAGGCAACGUCCUUUCCUUUGGCAAAAUGGGUCGAAAGAAGGACUUGACAGGCUCAGAAAAGUCAAAAAUAGUGAGAUAUCUUGCAGAGGGAUGCAGCAGUCUCAAAAUUGCAAAGCUUCUGAAGCGUGAUCAUCGAACAAUCAAGCGUUUCGUUCAAAAUAGUCAACAGGGUCGCAAGAAGCGUGUGGAAAAACCAAGGCGCAAAAUAACUGCCCAUGAACUGAGAAAAGUCAAGCGUGCAGCUGCCAAGAUGCCACUUGCCACCAGUUUGGCCAUAUUUCAGAGCUGCAACAUCACUGGAGUGCCCAAAAGCACAAGGUGUGCAAUACUCAGAGACGUGGCCAAGGUAUGAAAGGCUGAAAGACGACCACCACUGAACAAGACACACAAGCUGAAACGUCAAGACUGGGCCAAGAAAUAUCUCAAGACUGGUUUUUCUAAGGUUUUAUGGACUGAUGAAAUGAGAGUGAGUCUUGAUGGGCCAGAUGGAUGGGCCCGUGGCUGGAUUGGUAAAGGGCAGAGAGCUCCAGUCCGACUCAGACGCCAGCAAGGUGGAGGUGGAGUACUGGUUUGGGCUGGUAUCAUCAAAGAUGAGCUUGUGGGGCCUUUUCGGGUUGAGGGUGGAGUCAAGCUCAACUCCCAGUCCUACUGCCAGUUUCUGGAAGACACCUUCUUCAAGCAGUGGUACAGGAAGAAGUCUGCAUCCUUCAAGAAAAACAUGAUUUUCAUGCAGGACAAUGCUCCAUCACACGCGUCCAAGUACUCCACAGCGUGGCUGGCAAGAAAGGGUAUAAAAGAAGAAAAACUAAUGACAUGGCCUCCUUGUUCACCUGAUCUGAACCCCAUUGAGAACCUGUGGUCCAUCAUCAAAUGUGAGAUUUACAAGGAGGGAAAACAGUACACCUCUCUGAACAGUGUCUGGGAGGCUGUGGUUGCUGCUGCACGCAAUGUUGAUGGUGAACAGAUCAAAACACUGACAGAAUCCAUGGAUGGCAGGCUUUUGAGUGUCCUUGCAAAGAAAGGUGGCUAUAUUGGUCGCUGAUUUGUUUUUGUUUUGUUUUUGAAUGUCAGAAAUGUAUAUUUGUGAAUGUGGAGAUGUUAUAUUGGUUUCACUGGUAAAAAUAAAUAAUAAAUAGCAGUUAGCAUUUUGCAGCUAAUGUGACCUAAUUGAUAUUUUUGGGUAUAAUGUAGUUAGCAGGUAUUCACCCCUUUGGUGUAGAUUAAUAAAGCACAAAGACACGCCUGCGGGAGAUGACAUCUAUCCUGUUCAUAUAUAAUCAGUCUGUAUUUUUGUGUUAACUAUUCCUUCUUUUAAAAUCCAGAUUCACAUUAAACAUUUCAGUUUGCUCACUCACACAGCCCUGAAGUCAGAAAUGCAUAUAGAUGUGACGCAUUGCUGCAACUAACUGACUGAAAUUGUUUCAUGCUGAUUAUUUGGGAAACACUGGUUAUAUUUAAUGAUUUCACCUUUAUACCUGAACCUAAAUGAAGAUGAACUAAUGAGAUCAUACUAAUACUAAUAUUAAUUGAUAAAAAUCACACAUUUUAUUAGUGUUGAAUGCUUUAUUGAACAUAUUCAAAAUACUACAUUUGCAAUCAGGAAAACACAUUUUAUUAGUGAGAGAAAUAAUGUUUAUUUGUAUUUUCUAAUACAAUAUUUUAACUGGGUUACAAAUCAAAGAGUGGCAUAUGGGUCAGGAGAUAUCAAAGAGGCAUUUCAAUAAGAUGAAUUGAGGCUGCAAUGAAACAAAGUAGCAAAGGCCAGAUGUUAUUUUACCCUGCAGACUGUUAAAUGCAUGCAGUCUUCUUCUUAACACUUGGAGUGUGAAAGAAAUGCAGAUGAGAGCCAGGAAACCUAAAGGGAAUACUCUGAAAGUGUGAACAUGAGUGUGUGGAGGGUAGCAGCCAAAAGCAAAUGUGGGCCCAGCAAUGUGUUGCAAAUGUGCUUUAUUUGCAUUAACUGUCCCCAUUCCUGCAGCUCAUUCAGGGUGUAUUUGCAUACACUGUCUGUGCUGACAUUGCAGUUCAGAUUGAGUUACCUUAAACUCUGCCUGUAUGCACAUGAAUGCCAAUGACGUGGGAUUUUCUGAAUGUUAGCAGUGAUUUUUUUUUUACCCUGCACCCACUCAGACACACCAGUUAUGUUUCUUAAAAACUGGCUCACAAAGAAAACUCUGAUGUACCAGGACUGAGUGGAUGCUGCUGCCGCCCACUUUUAAAUCAGCAUCAGCAUCUUUUCUGUGUGAGAUCUUUGCUACACUCUAUACCCAAGAGUAUGUGGGCAUGUUUGUUCUGGAGGCUACAACGCACAGUACGACAUUAGAUUAAUACAAGGGUGCCAAUUGUGUUGAAAUGAUAUUUUUUCAAUUCAAUUUCAUUCAUUGCUCUUCCUGGUGGGGUGAUGCUCGAUCUAUGUAAGGUUUUUUAAGGUUUCAUCCACUUUUUUCUUAAGAUCUAUUUUGCAAAUAGUUGGUUUUUGAAUACUGACACCAUGCCAGAUGUGUUUCUUUCUUAUAAUAAAUGCAUAAGUCAGCAAAUAUAAUCUAAAUACUGAAUUACUGCCCAAAGAUAGUCCUGAAACUACCACCAUAAGACUAUUAAUACACCACAAAGCUUAAACAUGUAGCUGCCAUCUUGCUGAACAAACAUAUACAGCCAUCUCUCUUCUCUCAUAUCGUGACGCCCCAGAUGAACAGAGACAGACUGUGAGCGAUACCAGAAACUGACUUCACCGUGAAACUCUUGUUAGUGAGAAUAGUUAUUUUCACAAUUCAGUUCAAGUAUAUUUAUUUAUGUAUCCAGCAUCUUCUACAACAAUCCAGAGGAAAAAAAUUAACUCUAUAAAGCUUUGGCUAAUGGUGACAUAUUAAAAAAAAUGUUAUAUGUCAUAUUAUGACAUUUAACAUCAGCUAUAACACAUUUAUGAAGUAGAAUCUGUAUAAAAUACAAUGAUAAAGGAAAAACAAAAAAUAAAGGAGAACAGUAAAAUUGAGUUCAGAAAACAAACGUCAAAGUAAAAU